CCUACGGGGGGCUGCAGUGGGGAAUAUUGGACAAUGGGGGGAACCCUGAUCCAGCCAUGCCGCGUGUGUGAAGAAGGCCCUCGGGUUGUAAAGCACUUUCAGUGAGGAAGAACGCCUGGUGGUUAAUACCCAUCAGGAAAGACAUCACUCACAGAAGAAGCACCGGCUAACUCCGUGCCAGCAGCCGCGGUAAUACGGAGGGUGCGAGCGUUAAUCGGAAUUACUGGGCGUAAAGCGCGCGUAGGUGGCUUGAUAAGCCGGUUGUGAAAGCCCCGGGCUCAACCUGGGAACGGCAUCCGGAACUGUCAAGCUAGAGGGCAGGAGAGGAAGGUAGAAUUCCCGGUGUAGCGGUGAAAUGCGUAGAGAUCGGGAGGAAUACCAGUGGCGAAGGCGGCCUUCUGGACUGACACUGACACUGAGGUGCGAAAGCGUGGGUAGCAAACAGGAUUAGAUACCCGAGUAGUC
rnacentral:rRNA from 1 species